rnacentral:rRNA from 1 species
GAUGAACGCUGGCGGCGUGCUUAACACAUGCAAGUCGAACGAAGCACUUUUACAGAUUUAUUCGGAAUGAAGUUUUAGUGACUGAGUGGCGGACGGGCGAGUAACGCGUGGGUAAAUUGCCAUACACAGGGGGAUAACAGUUGGAAAGGGCUGAUAAUACCGCAUAAGCGCACAGUCCCGCAUGGUACAGUGUGAAAAACUCCGGUGGCGUGGGAUGGACCCGCGUCUGAUUAGCUAGUUGGCAGGGCAACGGCCUACCAAGGCGACGAUCAGUAGCCGACCUGAGAGGGUGACCGGCCACAUUGGGACUGAGGCACGGCCCAAACUCCUACGGGAGGCAGCAGUGGGGAAUAUUGCACAAUGGGGGAAACCCUGAUGCAGCGACGCCGCGUGAGCGAAGAAGUAUUUCGGUAUGUAAAGCUCUAUCAGCAGGGAAGAAGAAAUGACGGUACCUGACUAAGAAGCACCGGCUAAAUACGUGCCAGCCGCCGCUGUAA